GUGCAUUGUAGUUGCAUUGCAUUGUUAUUUAUUUUUGCAAUGCAUCCACAGUGCAAUU
rnacentral:pre_miRNA from 1 species